GAUGAACGCUAGCGGCAGGCCUAACACAUGCAAGUCGAGGGGUAACUAGAGUGAUAGCAAUAUUACUUUGGCUAGACCGGCGCACGUGUGCGUAACACGUAUGCAACCUACCUUAUACUGGGGAAUAACUUCGAGAAAUCGGCGCUAAUACCCCAUAACAUUGCGAAGACGCAUCUAUUUGCACUUAAAGCUCCGACGGUAUAAGAUGGGCAUACGUACAAUUAGCUAGUUGGUGAGGUAACGGCUCACCAAGGCUACGAUUGGUAGGGGUUUCGAGAGGACGACCCCCAACACCGGUACUGAGACAAGGACCAGACUCCUACGGGAGGCAGCAGUGAUGAAUAUUGCGCAAUGGACGAAAGUCUGACGCAGCCAUGUCGCGGGCAGGAUGACGGCCCUAUGGGUUGUAAACUGCUUUUGUAUGGGAAUAAACCCUUCUACGUGUAGGAGGCUGAAGGUACCGUAAGAAUAAGCCCCGGCUAACUCCGUGCCAGCCGCCGCUGUAACAC
rnacentral:rRNA from 1 species